rnacentral:lncRNA from 1 species
AUGUCAGGCGGGGAGGAGACGAAAGGUCACGGGCUUCCCUUGCGCUGGGAGGAAACGGCGGCAGCAGCAGGGCGGGAAAGAGCCGGAGCGGCCGGGGCAGCGGCGGGCGCGGGCGCGCGCACGUCCACACGCGUGUGCAGGGUCACGCGCAUGCGCUCGCCCGCGGUCGGCGGCUGCUCCCCCGGGAGCUCCGGGGGCCGCCGGCACCGAGGCAGGAGUCGGGGCGAAGGGGGGGGGGGGCGGCUUCCCGUUCCCUCCUCUGCCCUCGAGGCCCCGGGGCGCCCGGCCGCAGCGGGUCCGCAGCCCCCUCCGCUCCGCUCUCCCCGCGGCGCGAGGCCUUUCCGGCCCCGGCGCCGCUGCGCAUCGCCCGGUCCCGGUGCCUGGCUGAUCCGCGUUGCCAUGGCGCCGUUGCCAGGGCACCCGCCUCCCGCUCCCGCAGCCAUGCAUCAGCCGGGAAGCAGCCAGCCGGAGCCCCCCGCCUGCCCCGUGGCGGAGGCGGCGGGGGGCCGGCAAGGGGCAGCGCGGCCCCGGCCCCGUUCCCGUUCCCGGGGGGCCGACUCGGCUCAGGCGUCUUGGUUUUCCCACCUGACUGCUGGGGUCCGGCCGGGAGAGGGUGGCUGGGAGGAAGAGGAGGGUGCGACAGCCCCGGGCCCUCGUCUCCAUGACCUCCCUGCGUGGGGCUCCCAGGGCCGGGGCGUCCUCCCGGCCGCAGUGGUCCCUGCCUCCCUGGGGCUGGAUCAACGCCUUGCCCGGGGCAGGAGCGUCCCCUGUCCCGUGGCGGAUCCAGCUCUGCUUUGCUCCCCCGCGUUGGGCAUCCAGAACCCCCCCCCCCCGGGCUCGUGGCCAGAGCGGGAGUGCAGGUUGGAUCACGGAUGUCUCCUGGCAGCAGCGCUCGGCUGGACCGAGGAAAGGAAUCGGCUCUGCCCAGGGAUGUUGGAGCCCUGGACCCGUCCUCGGGCUCCGCGUCCCAGCCCGGUGGCAGGAACCCUGGAUCGUGCCAGGCUCGGCCCCCCCUGUCCCGUCUCCUUCUCCCCCUCGGGGCGUCGGAGGCACCGGGGGAAUCUCGGAGGCGGGGGGCGGCAGGGCCGGGCGGCGGCGAGGGCAUCCGGCUGCGCUGCGGCUCUCCCCGGGCCAGGAGGAUUCCUGGCUGUCGACCCGGGAAUGCAGAGCCUGCAGCAAAUAAUGGAAAAUGGAGAGGAUGGAGGAGGGGGGGAAGGCAGGAACAGAACGUUUCAGGAGCGCUGCAAAAGUUUGGAUCCGUCGAACGGGGCAGGGUCCGGGAGAGGAGCGGGCCCCGGGCCAGAGCCUGGGAGCCCGGGAUGCCGGGACGGAGGGCGGCCGGGAGGGGAGCGGGGCUGCUCCCUCCCUCCAGCUUUUGCACGUGACCCCUGUUUGCGCGSGGACGCGGCGCGGCCGCCUGGCUCUGCAGCCGCUCGGCCCGGGCAGGGAGCCGCGGCGAAACGAGCAGGGAGCUCGCAGCCGCUCCAGCUCCGUUUGGGCUUUUAG